UUUUUUUUUUUUUUUUGAGACAGGGUCUCACUCUGUCACCCAGGCUAGAGUGCAGUGGUGUGAUCCUGGUUCACUGCAGCCUCAACCUCCCGGGCUCAAGUGAUCCUCCCACCUCCUGAAUAGCUGGUGCCCACCACCAUGCCUGGUUAAGUUUUAUAUUUUUUUGUAGAGACAGGGUUUUGACAUGUUGCCCAGGCUGGUCUCAAAAUCCUGAGCUCAAGCAAUCUGCCUGCCUCACCCUCCCGAAGUGCUGGGAUUACAGGUGUGAGCCACCGUGCCUGGCCGGGAUUUGAUCUAAUACUCUGCCUCCUAAAAAGUACUAAAUAUUUCAUAGGAGAGGCUAUUAAAAAUCAUAAAGUAAGCACUUUGAGUCUGUCCUUAUUUCAAAAAUUGAAAGUGAGGUUUGCAUUUCUGCCUUUCCCUUUUGUGGGCCACGUCCCUUCCACAUCUCGCAAAGCUCUGCUCUCCUGAACAGUUACAUAACUGGGAUUGGGGCUGACAGCUGGAGUCCACAGAACUCACUUGGUGCCCUCAGGCUACAAUACUUCGGCCUCUGUUCCUUCUCAUGUUUUCCUUUUGCCAAAACACGCUCUGACAGAUGGCCUCCCUCAGGCUUGACCCACUUUCUCCAUAGCUGUAUAUUCGAACAGAAUACAGGUGUGUCUUCAAAUGGAUGCACUUCUAUCUAAACACAAGCGCAAAUCAGUGUGGACAGGUGGGAUGCCCUGGGAAGCAGGAGGAUGAUUAACCUCCAUGUAGGCAGGAGGAAGGAGUAACACUGCAGAGGAAAUGCAAGGAGUUCGUCUCACAGGUUUUCAGGAACAUGGGCUUUAAAACGCCAUCUCCAAGCUCCUAUCCUAUGAACAACACAGGGAGUUCAGGCAACUUUUAAAGAGAUUCUGGGUCUGCACUGAGUUUUGUAAAACACAAGAAGGUUUGAUUCUUUCAGUGAAUCUCUUCUAGCAAUUUCAGAGAUGGACACAAUUCAUGGCUUUGGGCCUGAAAACAUCCAGUUAAAAUGGAGGUGGCCCACGGUGUCAGCCACACGUUCAUUGUCAUGGGCUGAACGGUGCCCUCCAAGAAUUCUGCUGAAGUCUAACCUCCAGUCCCUCAGAACGUGACGGUAUUUGGAGAGUUUCUUUAAAGAGGUGAUCGUGUUAAAAGCAAACAUACAACUCCUAAUUACCUUCUCAAAGUCCCCAAAUUAGUAGGAAGUAAUCUGUGCAAGUGGCAGCGAGCCUCUGGCUGUGACAGGAGCUCCCAGCAGCUGUGCAUGUAAAAACAUCACUUCCAAUUCACAGGGCUCAAAGUUGGGCUAGCAAUUAGUAGUAUGGCCAGAUUUGAGCUAUUGGUAGAACGCAUCCUUUUUUCAUGGUUUAAUUUCUUUUUCUCUUUGUUGGUUACAAUAUUUCUGGUAGCUUUUUAUUUUGAGUUUUGUGGGUAGAUAGUAGAUGUAUCUAUUUAUGGAACACAUGAGGUGCUUUGAUACAGGCCUGCAAUGCGUGACAGUCACACCAUGGAAAACGUGGUAUCCAUCUCCUCAAGCCUUUAGCUUUUGUGUUACAAAUAAUCCAAUUAUACUCAGUUAUUUUAAAAUGUACAAUUACAUUAUUAUUGGCUCUAUUCACCCUGUUGUGCUACCAAAAACUAGGUCUUCUUCAUUCUUCCCAGUUACUUUUUUUUUGGUACCCAUUA
rnacentral:lncRNA from 1 species